rnacentral:rRNA from 1 species
GAUGAACGCUAGCGGCAGGCCUAACACAUGCAAGUCGAGGGGCAGCACAUAAGGUAGCAAUACUUUUGGUGGCGACCGGCGCACGGGUGAGUAACACGUAUGCAAUCUACCUGUAAGCGGGGGAUAACCCGGCGAAAGUCGGACUAAUACCGCAUAAAACAGGGGCACCGCAUGGUGAUAUUUGUUAAAGAAAUUCGCUGAUAGAUGGGCAUGCGUUCCAUUAGGUAGUUGGUGAGGUAACGGCUCACCAAGCCGACGAUGGAUAGGGGAACUGAGAGGUUGGUCCCCCACACUGGUACUGAGACACGGACCAGACUCCUACGGGAGGCAGCAGUGAGGAAUAUUGGUCAAUGGGCGGGAGCCUGAACCAGCCAAGUCGCGUGAAGGAAGAAGGAUCUAUGGUUCGUAAACUUCUUUUGCAGGGGAAUAAAGUGCGGGACGUGUCCUGUUUUGUAUGUACCCUGAGAAUAAGGAUCGGCUAACUCCGUGCCAGCAGCCGCGGUAAA